GAUGAACGCUGGCGGCGUGCCUAACACAUGCAAGUCGAACGAUUAAGACCCCUUCGGGGGUGUAUAGAGUGGCGAACGGGUGAGUAAAACGUGGGCAACCUGCCCCUCACACCGGGAAAACCCAGGGAAACCGGUGCUAAUACCGGAUACUUCGGGACCUCCGCAUGGAGGGCCCGGGAAAGCCCCGACGGUGAGGGAUGGGCCCGCGGUCCAUUAGCUUGUUGGUGGGGUAACGGCCCACCAAGGCCGCGAUGGAUAGCCGGGUUGAGAGACCGACCGGCCACAUUGGGACUGAGACACGGCCCAGACUCCUACGGGAGGCAGCAGUGGGGAAUUUUGCGCAAUGGGGGAAACCCUGAUGCAGCAACGCCGCGUGCGGGAUGAAGGCCUUCGGGUUGUAAACCGCUUUCAGCAGGGAUGAUUAUGACAGUACCUGCAGAAGAAGCUCCGGCUAACUACGUGCCAGCCGCCGCCGUAAAAC
rnacentral:rRNA from 1 species